UGCGCGUGUGCUUUGUGUGUCUUCGCAUAAACCUAUACCUGUUGAACCCGCCCACUGUGUUUGAAACAUGAAGUACAUUUAUAAGGAAGUAAAGGAAAAACUGGACACUGUCGGUCGAAGAAAAAUGUUUCUACGGUAUGUAGCGUAAUCUUUUUUGUUUGUUUGUAGAAAAGUGUUUUGGAGAAGUUAGGCCAUCGCAGAGAGAGGUGAUUUAUGGGCUGAGUGAGCUGUGACUUACAUCUAAAACGAGUCUCUCUGGGGAGAGAAAGGAGGGGACCACCGCCUCUAAAAUGAGUCUCUCUGGGGAGAGAGAGGAGGGGACCACUGGUUCUAAAAUGAGUCUCUCUGGGGAGAGAAAGGAGGGGACUACUGCCUCUAAAAUGAGUCUCUCUGGGGAGAGAGAGGAGGGAACCACUGCCUCUAAAAUGAGUCUCUCUGGGGAGAGAGAGGGGGGGACCACUGCCUCUAAAAUGACUCAAGACACCAGUUCAAAGAGUGUCCAGAAGCCCAGAGCAGAGUCACCUACAACCAGCCUGCUAUCAAUGAAGAGUGAUCAGCCACCUGCUUUCAGCCAGGAAUCAUUACCAGAUGACAAUAAGGAAGUGGAGAGUUUGGACAGUGAGGAUGUAUUAAAGAUCACACACAACCUUCUGGACAGAAGAAGU